rnacentral:tRNA from 1 species
GCCUGGGUGGCUCAGUCGGUUGCGCGUCCGACUUCAGCUCAGGUCACGAUCUCGCGGUCCGUGAGUUCGAGCCCCGCCUCAGGCU